GUGCUCACUUCGGCAGCACAUAUACUAAAAUUGGAACAAUACAGAGAAAAUUAGCAUGGACCCUGCACCAGGAUGAUGCACAAAUUUGUGAAGCAUUCCAUAUUUGU
ensembl:snRNA U6 U6 spliceosomal RNA